rnacentral:snoRNA from 1 species
UUGCUGUGAUGACUUUGUCUUGGUUUCACUUAUUGCUGAAUUCCAUGAAGAUUCAUUUCUCUUGGCUGUCUGAGCAU